GGGUUGUGAGGUUAAGCGACUAAGCGUACACGGUGGAUGCCCUGGCAGUCAGAGGCGAUGAAGGACGUGCUAAUCUGCGAUAAGCGUCGGUGAGGUGAUAUGAACCGUUAUAACCGGCGAUUUCCGAAUGGGGAAACCCAGUGUGUUUCGACACACUAUCAUUAACUGAAUCCAUAGGUUAAUGAGGCGAACCGGGGGAACUGAAACAUCUAAGUACCCCGAGGAAAAGAAAUCAACCGAGAUUCCCCCAGUAGCGGCGAGCGAACGGGGAGGAGCCCAGAGCCUGAAUCAGUGUGUGUGUUAGUGGAAGCGUCUGGAAAGGCGCGCGAUACAGGGUGACAGCCCCGUACACAAAAAUGCACAUAUUGUGAGCUCGAUGAGUAGGGCGGGACACGUGGUAUCCUGUCUGAAUAUGGGGGGACCAUCCUCCAAGGCUAAAUACUCCUGACUGACCGAUAGUGAACCAGUACCGUGAGGGAAAGGCGAAAAGAACCCCGGCGAGGGGAGUGAAAAAGAACCUGAAACCGUGUACGUACAAGCAGUGGGAGCCUCUUAAUGGGGUGACUGCGUACCUUUUGUAUAAUGGGUCAGCGACUUAUAUUCUGUAGCAAGGUUAACCGAAUAGGGGAGCCGAAGGGAAACCGAGUCUUAACUGGGCGUUAAGUUGCAGGGUAUAGACCCGAAACCCGGUGAUCUAGCCAUGAGCAGGUUGAAGGUUGGGUAACACUAACUGGAGGACCGAACCGACUAAUGUUGAAAAAUUAGCGGAUGACUUGUGGCUGGGGGUGAAAGGCCAAUCAAACCGGGAGAUAGCUGGUUCUCCCCGAAAGCUAUUUAGGUAGCGCCUCGUGAAUUCAUCUCCGGGGGUAGAGCACUGUUUCGGCAAGGGGGUCAUCCCGACUUACCAACCCGAUGCAAACUGCGAAUACCGGAGAAUGUUAUCACGGGAGACACACGGCGGGUGCUAACGUCCGUCGUGAAGAGGGAAACAACCCAGACCGCCAGCUAAGGUCCCAAAGUCAUGGUUAAGUGGGAAACGAUGUGGGAAGGCCCAGACAGCCAGGAUGUUGGCUUAGAAGCAGCCAUCAUUUAAAGAAAGCGUAAUAGCUCACUGGUCGAGUCGGCCUGCGCGGAAGAUGUAACGGGGCUAAACCAUGCACCGAAGCUGCGGCAGCGACACUAUGUGUUGUUGGGUAGGGGAGCGUUCUGUAAGCCUGUGAAGGUGGCCUGUGAGGGUUGCUGGAGGUAUCAGAAGUGCGAAUGCUGACAUAAGUAACGAUAAAGCGGGUGAAAAGCCCGCUCGCCGGAAGACCAAGGGUUCCUGUCCAACGUUAAUCGGGGCAGGGUGAGUCGACCCCUAAGGCGAGGCCGAAAGGCGUAGUCGAUGGGAAACAGGUUAAUAUUCCUGUACUUGGUGUUACUGCGAAGGGGGGACGGAGAAGGCUAUGUUGGCCGGGCGACGGUUGUCCCGGUUUAAGCGUGUAGGCUGGUUUUCCAGGCAAAUCCGGAAAACCAAGGCUGAGGCGUGAUGACGAGGCACUACGGUGCUGAAGCGACAAAUGCCCUGCUUCCAGGAAAAGCCUCUAAGCAUCAGGUAACAUCAAAUCGUACCCCAAACCGACACAGGUGGUCAGGUAGAGAAUACCAAGGCGCUUGAGAGAACUCGGGUGAAGGAACUAGGCAAAAUGGUGCCGUAACUUCGGGAGAAGGCACGCUGAUAUGUAGGUGAAGCGACUUGCUCGUGGAGCUGAAAUCAGUCGAAGAUACCAGCUGGCUGCAACUGUUUAUUAAAAACACAGCACUGUGCAAACACGAAAGUGGACGUAUACGGUGUGACGCCUGCCCGGUGCCGGAAGGUUAAUUGAUGGGGUUAGCGGCAACGCGAAGCUCUUGAUCGAAGCCCCGGUAAACGGCGGCCGUAACUAUAACGGUCCUAAGGUAGCGAAAUUCCUUGUCGGGUAAGUUCCGACCUGCACGAAUGGCGUAAUGAUGGCCAGGCUGUCUCCACCCGAGACUCAGUGAAAUUGAACUCGCUGUGAAGAUGCAGUGUACCCGCGGCAAGACGGAAAGACCCCGUGAACCUUUACUAUAGCUUGACACUGAACAUUGAGCCUUGAUGUGUAGGAUAGGUGGGAGGCUUUGAAGUGUGGACGCCAGUCUGCAUGGAGCCGACCUUGAAAUACCACCCUUUAAUGUUUGAUGUUCUAACGUUGGCCCCUAAUCGGGGUUGCGGACAGUGUCUGGUGGGUAGUUUGACUGGGGCGGUCUCCUCCUAAAGAGUAACGGAGGAGCACGAAGGUUGGCUAAUCCUGGUCGGACAUCAGGAGGUUAGUGCAAUGGCAUAAGCCAGCUUGACUGCGAGCGUGACGGCGCGAGCAGGUGCGAAAGCAGGUCAUAGUGAUCCGGUGGUUCUGAAUGGAAGGGCCAUCGCUCAACGGAUAAAAGGUACUCCGGGGAUAACAGGCUGAUACCGCCCAAGAGUUCAUAUCGACGGCGGUGUUUGGCACCUCGAUGUCGGCUCAUCACAUCCUGGGGCUGAAGUAGGUCCCAAGGGUAUGGCUGUUCGCCAUUUAAAGUGGUACGCGAGCUGGGUUUAGAACGUCGUGAGACAGUUCGGUCCCUAUCUGCCGUGGGCGCUGGAGAACUGAGGGGGGCUGCUCCUAGUACGAGAGGACCGGAGUGGACGCAUCACUGGUGUUCGGGUUGUCAUGCCAAUGGCACUGCCCGGUAGCUAAAUGCGGAAGAGAUAAGUGCUGAAAGCAUCUAAGCACGAAACUUGCCCCGAGAUGAGUUCUCCCUGAGACUUAGAGUCUCCUGAAGGAACGUUGAAGACGACGACGUUGAUAGGCCGGGUGUGUAAGCGCAGCGAUGCGUUGAGCUAACCGGUACUAAUGAACCGUGAGGCUUAACCUUACAACGCCGAAG
rnacentral:rRNA from 1 species